GACGUAGGGCGCGAGCGUUGUCCGGAUUUAUUGGGCGUAAAGAGCUCGUAGGCGGCUUGUCGCGUCGUCCGUGAAAACCCACAGCUCAACUGUGGGCUUGCGGUCGAUACGGGCAGGCUAGAGUUCGGUAGGGGAGACUGGAAUUCCUGGUGUAGCGGUGAAAUGCGCAGAUAUCAGGAGGAACACCGGUGGCGAAGGCGGGUCUCUGGGCCGAUACUGACGCUGAGGAGCGAAAGCGUGGGUAGCAAACAGG
rnacentral:rRNA from 1 species